CAUAAAAGGGAAAACAAUUUUUUUUCUGAUUCGGUAUUGUACUCGGGUAACUUCGAUGGGGAAGCGGGUGAGACUGUGACAAUAGCCUAGCCGAUGAUGAUUGAAAAGCUCCUUUGGCUGAUCGGCUAUGCUCGGUUAGACUUGUCAGACAUCGUUAAACAGUUGUAUGAAUUUCUUUGUUACUUGCGUUACCAAUUCAAUUGUAAAAAAAAUGAUAAAAUUUUUUUUUUUAAUGGAAGGAAAUUAACUUAUUCUUUAGCAAUUUUUGUUAAACUGUACAUUGGCAUUGCAGGGCUAUGCAUGCAAUACGAGUUUAACCAAGCAUAAUCGAACAGCCAAAGGCAGCUUUUCAAUUGUCACGGACUAGAAUCUAGUGUGACUGUGUAUGCAUUAGUGAUGC
rnacentral:lncRNA from 1 species